GGUUCGAUGGUGUAGUUGGUUAUCACUUCUGUCUAACAGCGGUCCGCUGCGUGCACAGGCGGUCCUCGGUUCGAACCCGGGUCGAAUCA